rnacentral:rRNA from 1 species
CCAGCAGCCGCGGUAAUUCCAGCUCCAAUAGCGUAUAUUAAAGUUGUUGCAGUUAAAAAGCUCGUAGUCGAAGUUCUGGCUGGUGCUGUUGUCGGCUUCGGUCGCUUCAGCGCCUAGCCAUCCGUCGGAGAACCCAUGUCGGCCUUCACUGGUCGCUUGGGGGAACCGGCCCUUUACUUUGAAAAAAUUAGAGUGCUCAAGGCAGGCUAUCGCCUGAAUACUCCAGCAUGGAAUAAUGGAAUAGGACUUUGUUCUAUUUUGUUGGUUAUUAGAAUAAAGUAAUGAUUAAUAGGGACAGUUGGGGGCAUUCGUACUUAAUUGUCAGAGGUGAAAUUCUUGGAUUUAUUAAAGACGAACUAAUGC